rnacentral:misc_RNA from 1 species
AGCAGCCGCGGUAAUUCCAGCUCCAAUAGCGUAUAUUAAAGUUGUUGCAGUUAAAAGCUCGUAGUUGAAUUUCGGGAUUGGCGCAUCGGUCGUGCCUCACGGGGUAUGAACUGGUGCAGUCAAUUUCUCACCUUCUGGAGAACCGCGAUGUCCUUAAUUGGAUGCCGCGGGGAACCAGGACCUUUACUUUGAAAAAUUGGAGUGUUUAAAGCAGGCAUUUUUGCUUGAAUACAUUAGCAUGGAAUAAUAAAAUAGGACGGCAUGGUUCUAUUUUGUUGGUUUCUAGGACCACCGUAAUGAUUAAUAGGGAUAGUUGGGGGCAUUAGUAUUCAAUUGUCAGAGGUGAAAUUCUUGGAUUUUAUUGAAGACUAACUACUGCGAAAGCAUUUGCCAAGGAUGUUUUCAUUAAUCAAGAACGAAAGUUAGGGGAUCGAAGACGAUCAGAUACCGUCGUAGUCUUAACCAUAAACUAUGCCGAACUAGGAAUCAGACGAUGUUUAAAUUUUUUAAUGUAACUUCG